GACGAACGCUGGCGGCGUGCUUAACACAUGCAAGUCGAGCGGUAAGGCCCUUUCGGGGGUACACGAGCGGCGAACGGGUGAGUAACACGUGGGUGACCUGCCCUCAGCUCUGGGAUAAGCCUGGGAAACCGGGGUCUAAUACUGGAUAUGACUCCAUGACGCAUGUUGUGGGGUGGAAAGCCUUGUGCGGCUGAGGAUGGGCCCGCGGCCUAUCAGCUUGUUGGUGGGGNGAUGGCCUACCAAGGCGACGACGGGUAGCCGGCCUGAGAGGGCGACCGGCCACACUGGGACUGAGACACGGCCCAGACUCCUACGGGAGGGCAGCAGUGGGGAAUCUUGCGCAAUGGGCGAAAGCCUGACGC
rnacentral:rRNA from 1 species